GACGGACGCUGGCGGCGUGCUUAACACAUGCAAGUCGAACGGUGAAGCGCCUUCCUUUUUGGUGGGUGUGGAUGAGUGGCGAACGGGUGAGUAACACGUGAGUAACCUGCCCCCUUCUUCUGGAUAACCGCAUGAAAGUGUGGCUAAUACGGGAUAUUCUGGGUCUGUCGCAUGAUGGGUCUGGGAAAGAUAUUGUUUCGGUGGGGGAUGGGCUCGCGGCCUAUCAGCUUGUUGGUGGGGUGAUGGCCUACCAAGGCGGUGACGGGUAGCCGGCCUGAGAGGGUGGACGGUCACACUGGGACUGAGACACGGCCCAGACUCCGACGGGAGGCAGCAGGGGGGAAUAUUGCACAAUGGGAGCAAGCCUGAUGCAGCGACGCCGCGUGAGGGAUGGAGGCCUUCGGGUUGUGAACCUCUUUCGCCAGUGAAGCAGGCCUGCCUCGUUUGUGGGUGGGUUGACGGUAGCUGGAGAAGAAGCGCCGGCUAACUACGUG
rnacentral:rRNA from 1 species